UACUAUUGGGAGGUAGUGGAAACUUUCAGAGAGGUGGGGCCUACUGGGAGGUCUUUGGGUUACUGGGACCUUAAAGGGGCCCCAUUGCCCUUAAAGGGGCCUCUCCAUUUACUCCCUGUCCAUGCAGUUUUGCUUGGCCAUGCCCUGCACCCUCCCAAUUACCAUCUGGCAUUCCCACCAGAGGCCUAAAAGCAAUGGAUCUGCUUGAUCACAGACUGGACCUUCUAAAACUGUUUGGUUAUCUACAUUUUACAAAUGAAGAAAUUAAAGCUCAAAUGCAAUAAGGGAUUCACAUAAGCUGAUAUGGGUCCUGCUUCAAGCUGACGAGAGUUGUGUAGAUUCACAUACAAAAGCAAGUGUGUCCACUGAUCAACAGUGAGAGAAGCAUCCAACAAGUCAGAUAUCCCUUCUCCUUCUCCCUUGCCCCAUGCUCUGCAAGAAUCUGAUCACAGAAGAAACCAAAUUCCAGCUUCCAGUGAUGCCAUGUAAGAUAUUAAGCCCUUUACAUAAUAUUAGAAACUAUGUGAUAAGAAGCUGAAAGAAAUUAUGAGAAUUAAGACUUCUGUUUCAUGUCACACAUUCAUGAAAUUUGAACUAUAAUGUAC